UUCAACCUAAGAAAAGAGAACAUUGUCAGGUCCAUAUUUAAAAUAUAAUGCCUUGACCUUUACAGAAAAGUUUCAAGCCUCCUGCCAUCACCAGAAUUCACAGAAUCUACUCUUCUUACCUAACUGUACUGUGUUCUCCCUGACUUUGCUUCUGAUAGUGGGUGCCAUGAACGUGUUUACUGUCAGAUUACUGUAUAGUGAGUACAUAGGUCCCUCCCAUGGCCACAUGAACCAAGUGAAGUGAGAUUCUGGCGACACUCAACAUUCACCAAUUAUGUUGACCAGCAUCUUGAAAAAUUCCUUAAUUUUUCUCUCUUGUCUAGCUUCCUCUCAUCAGUCAGCCUUUACAACUUAGGCUACAGUCAACAAAUAUUUGGUUUCUUCUGCCUCUCCCCUCAUUAGGACUUCAGAUAAACAGCCCUCCCUGUCAGCCUGGACUUGGCGCCUUUGUUGGAAAUUUCAGAACUGACUGCCCAGGGCCCUCACGUGAGCAUCAAUAAGAACUGGUCCCUCUUUUCUAAAGUCUACCUCGGGGAUUUGUAGUGCAAGUACUAUCUUAGAUUUCCUCCCAUCUCUCUAACUACUCUUUGUUGUAAAUAUUUAUGUAUUUAUUUGGCUGUGUCAGGUCUUAGUUGCGGUAUGUGGUAUCUUUAGUUGGGACAUUCAAGAUCUUUAGCUGCAGCAUAUGAACUCUUAGUUGCGGCAUGCAUAAUCUACUUUCGAACCCAGGCCCCCUGCAUUGGGAGUGUAGAGUCUUAUCCACUGAACCACUGGGGAAGUCCCUCUAACUACUCCUUCUACACUUCCCUUCCUGUCUGUUUCUUUUUAUCUUUUUAAUGUAAAUAUCACCAAGCUUCACUGAGAGUUCUCUUUCACUUCUCUUUACCUAGAUUUACCUCCUUGGCCUUGUCCAUCAUCAUCAAGGGCCUGCCUCACAUUCCAUCAAGAUACACCAAUAAUAAAUUAAGCUUGCUUCUGAUUUUCUUACUUCCACUCAUUUAUACUAGCAAGGUUGUCUUUGCUAUGGUCAGGACAUGCUCAUAAAGAGCUCAACAACCUUGCCUUGUUGAGAGUCUAUACUUUGAUUGGAUUUCUCUUGAAGUUUACCUUCUUACCUCUUUGUCAUUUCCUGUAGGCAGAAUCACUUUCUAUUGAUUUCCUCAUAAUCAAGAAAUAAACGAAAAUAGGUACAGAGGGAGACAAAAACUAGAAAGCCUAGCUUAUAAAAUCCUUUCCUCAUUUUCCAUCAGAGUCCUGAGGCCCAACUCUCAGAGUCUGACUUCCUCUCUGAGAACCUAACUUUUCCCUUCUUGGCUGAUAUCAGGAAAAUGCACUCCCUUCUGGACAGAUGUCAGCUCUCACCUACAAAGUUAAUCUUUAUUCUGUGGGCAAAGGAUCUGAGGUUCCACACAGUAAAAACCCUACAGAUGCCCCCAAGGAUGAAGUGAAGGAUGGCUAGGAAAUGGAACCAACACAGUGGAAAGUCUGUGACUAAAACUAGAGCCAAAAUGCAGUAAAAGUAUCCAUUCUACCUGCCGCUUGCUGAAUGCAUUCAUUGCCCCAAUUCUUCACCCCUCCUUGGCCUAGGUCUUUCACAUGUGGCCUUACAGUUCCUCUCAUUAAAAAGGCUGAGUAUAUUUUGCCAGCCUUUGACUUGGGUUCAGCCAUGUGACUUGCUUUGACUAAAGCCAUGUUUGUUGUAUAACUGGGCUUGCUAUCUUUUUUUUUUGGCGGUGGCUUGGCAGGGUGGGUGUGGAGGGGCCUUGCUAUCUUGUACCUCUGACACUGAUAUGCAAACAUGUUUGUGUGUCCUAGGAAGAAGAUGGAAAACAUAGGAGUCAGGGCGAGACUGCCUGAGCCAGGCCAAGCCUAAGCUCACAGGAAGAUGGCAUUGCCCAGCCUCCCUGCAGUUAGGUGGAGUCAUGUGACCAGGUUCCAACUAAUGGAAUGUGAGGGAAGGUGCCUCCUACCUCAACCCUCUUUGGACUUUGCUGUGAGAAAAAAAAUGUUUACUGUGUGAAUAAGUCAUUGAGAUUUGGAAGCUGUUUGGAGGAGCUUAUGUUUGGAAGAGGUAAUCAAGACAAUGUUGCCCCUUGAACUGGACCUGGGCAAAUCAGAGCCUCCUCACCCACUCCCACGUGUUUGGAAUGUAUGCUCUGCCCACUGUUCCCACAGUGGGUGUGUUCCAAGGACCCUGCCUUCAGAGAGUAAGGUAUUCUGAGACCAUCUGGAUGGUAUAUGUGACUGAACCCAGCAGUUAAUGCCUCUGUAUGAACUUGAAGAUUCCAGUGGGUGGGUGUAGAGACCUACUCAUCUUGGUGUCACCCAAGACAAACCUUGUAAGUUCCCUGGCUUAUUAAACCUGCCACCUUCCAA